GGACCCGCACAAGCGGUGGAUGAUGUGGAUUAAUUCGAUGCAACGCGAAUAACCUUACCUACCCUUGACAUGUACGGAAGCCCGCUGAGAGGCGGGUGUGCCCGAAAGGGAGCCGUAACACAGGUGCUGCAUGGCUGUCGUCAGCUCGUGUCGUGAGAUGUUGGGUUAAGUCCCGCAACGAGCGCAACCCUUGUCCCUAGUUGCUACGCAAGGGCACUCUAGGGAGACUGCCGGUGACAAACCGGAGGAAGGUGGGGAUGACGUCAAGUCCUCAUGGCCCUUAUGGGUAGGGCCUCACACGUCAUACAAUGGCCGGUACAGAGGGUUGCCAAACCGCGAGGUGGAGCCAAUCCCAGAAAGCCGGUCGUAGUCCGGAUUGCAGUCUGCAACUCGACUGCAUGAAGUCGGAAUCGCUAGUAAUCGCGGAUCAGCAUGUCGCGGUGAAUACGUUCCCGGGUCUU
rnacentral:rRNA from 1 species